rnacentral:lncRNA from 1 species
AUAAAGGGAUGACUUUUUAAUUGUGGUGUCUGAAAUACCAAAGGGCCGCUUGAAAUCCUUCUGGUUUCAGACACUCGUUUCCACACUGAACACUGGAUGUGAGAACACAGUAAAUCUAAAAUAAUGGGAUUUUUCUUCUUAACUCAUUGUGCAAUCAACCUACAGAACUCCGUGCAGCAAGAAGUGACAGUUGGUUACACCUAGAGACAGUUGUGGAAAGAAUAGACUAAUUUCCUUGGAGGAUUUCAACAAAUCCAUCACAAACUGAGUCUGACUAAACAGAAUGAAUGAAUGGAGUCUCACAUCUGAGGGCAUCUUGCAAGAGAAUGUCUUCCGGGCACAUUUUGGAAAGGAGGGAACUCUCUUGGAAGCAGUUCUUGACUGGGCUUUCAGCAACAGAGCUGAAAUGAGUGGACGUGUACAGGUGUAGUAGCAAUCACGGGCCGGAUUCUGCUGUUGGUCACACUGGAGUAAAUGCAGAGUAAUUCCACAGAAAUCAAUGGAUUUAGGCCACAUCAACACCAUUGUAACGGAGCGUAAUCUGCCCCAGGAAGACAAGAAUCUAGACAGACUGGUAGUGAGGUCCGAAAUGAGUGCCAAAGAAAGGAGAAUAACUGUGUAAUUUCAGUAGGAUACAUUCUGAGAGACUCCAUUAAGAUCUGGUUAAAACUGAGAAGAAAAAGCAAUGGAGGAAAAGGACACAAGAGGAAAUGGAAAGAAUUAAAGGUAAAUUACUGUAUCCCCAAUGUUCUCCAUGCACCAUACAGCUCAAUAAAUACCCCAGGAGCAGAAAAGGCAAUGGGAAUGAACAAGGAAGUACAGAAAGUAGAGAGAGAAGUGCCCUCAAGGUCUAAAACAUCAGGUUUUGGAGGAGAAUGGGAGAGGCGUCAGAGCAAAGGCACGUGCUUGGCUCCCGAUAAAACCCUUGUGCAGAAGGGAAAUGAUCUACAGCAAUCCUGUCACAUCCCACAGUGACUUUCAACUGGGAAAAAAACGAGGAGAUGGAGUGUAGCCAUGGUGAGCUGUCUAUCCUCAGUCCAGGAAAACUGAUGGCUGUGGAGAAGGAGGAAAAUGAACAUAGAAGGUAUGUGUCCAGUUGGAUUCUUGUAUUUUCAGGUGCGUUAACUAACCAUUGCAAAUUCCAGCAUAGACCUGUAUACCCCACAUUGGUUCUCAGCCAAGGGUUAAACACAAAUUGAAACGAACAUCCAUGUUUUGUCUACAGUCACAUUUAGCACUUGAAAAACAUGACAAAGAAUUUGAGCAUGGACCUCCCCAUAGGAGACUUGGGUUGAGGGUGGCCAUGG